rnacentral:rRNA from 1 species
CUUUCUUUGCUGGCGACCGGCGCACGGGUGAGUAACACGUAUCCAACCUGCCCUUUACUCGGGGAUAGCCUUUCGAAAGAAAGAUUAAUACCCGAUAGCAUAAUGAUUCCGCAUGGCUUCAUUAUUAAAGGAUUCCGGUAAAGGAUGGGGAUGCGUUCCAUUAGGUUGUUGGUGGGGUAACGGCCCACCAAGCCUUCGAUGGAUAGGGGUUCUGAGAGGAAGGUCCCCCACAUUGGAACUGAGACACGGUCCAA